UGCUACAGUAGAACGCUACAGUUAUCAUGCUACCUAGUACUGAAAGAAAAUCCAAUUCUCACAAAAGGAAAGAGAGAAAGGAGAGACAGGAGAGGCAAAAGAAAGGGUGUCAAUAUGUGAGCCAGUUUUUCUCCAAGAAAGACUCAACAACAGAUGAGUCAGAAGCAGCAGCCCUGUCUCCCCGUAACUUUACCCCUCCCAGUCCCAAUGAAGAAGAGCCUUUGUGCUCCACUGUCUCUCAGAUUAACUCAUAUU